rnacentral:rRNA from 1 species
AUGUAUCCUAACUCUCAUGCAUCGGCAACCCCGCAAAUUGUUAUGCCGAUGAACAACAUGGUGAGUUCAGUUAAUAAAUUUGAAACACCUCAUGUUAGAAUCUCCAAUGCCAUGCAAAAAAGUGUUUCACCCUUUUAUUCAUCGGCAAGUAAUGUGCAAUAUACUAAUCCAACCAUGCCGAUAAACGAGAGAAUUGGCCAUGCUGCUACUAGUUAUUCGGCCAGUUACUCUCAAACGUCAUGUGCUACACCUCAUGUUAGUAAUUCCUCGUCACCAUACACAUCUGUAGAUGCUCAUAAUUCAACUUCACACCUUCCUGGUUAUAGCCGAAUGAAUGUAAAUUUUACAGGAGCGGUUGUGCCUAAUAUUGUACAAGAUGAGGUAGUGGUGGCUGCAUUGAAGAGUUUAGCCCAAAAUAAGAGAAUUAGUGCUCUUUGCCUUGAAUAA